rnacentral:misc_RNA from 1 species
GAGAGAGAGAGAGAGAGAGGAAGACAUAAAUAUUUACAGAGGAUUUCAUUAUUUGUUUCGGAUAAAUCGAAAUUGAAGGGCGAGUGAAAAAUCAAGCAGAUUCAACUGACUUUGGAGAGAGAUCUGAGGUGUGAGAGGCGUCGGCCGAUGCGGCGGCGGACUUGGACUGCCUGCUCCAGGGCAACGAAUUCGAACGGUGAAGCCGGCACCGGAAGGAACCGAGAUGAGUCGUGGGUGAGCAGAGGCAUUGGCCUUUCGAUGAACAGGAGUGCGCCGCCACGCCGUCUCCCUCGCCGGCGCUUUUGGCGGAGGAAGGGAUGCUGAUGCUCAUUUUGCCGUGGGAUGCCA